rnacentral:lncRNA from 1 species
GGCCCAAAAAUAAAUUUUAAAAAAGGGGAAAAGAAUGAACCCCAAUGUCUUUAAUUUCAAAUUCUCUUUGUUCUUGCUCAUUAGCUAUACUGCUUUCCUUUUGGGACAAGGUUUUCACCAUUUUGAGCCCCAGUUGCACCAUCUCCAAGUUGGGGCUCAUGACAGUCCCUGCAAAUGAGGUCACGGCUCAGCAGGUGGAAGCACGCUGGCACCGAUUGGAAGUUCCAGAAGUGUUAUCUGUGUGGCUUUCUCCUUUCCCCUACCCCCAGCCACAUCUUAAACAGGAAACACCGGGCUUCCCAAGCCACUUCUGAGCGCACUCUCACGCUUACCUCUGUGGCAGCCAACGGAGCGUCUCCUGGGAGCAAGAACACUCCUGCUAGACAGCUGUUAACUACCAACUGGAGGACAAGCCAGUUCUCCACCUUCAGCCAGCUUGCUGGGUGAGCUUAGGCAAGUAGCUGUCUGUCUCUGGUCUGCCCCCUACCUCAGUGUCCCAGCAAAGAAGUCAUCCAGUGUCCAGCCUCUGUGCCGAUACCACCAGAGGUGCCUUCUUCGACCUAACACCUGUGGAAGGAGGGACUGAUUCCAUUUCAUACAUGUGGAGACAGAAGCCCAGAGAGGCCAAACUGGCUACCUCAGCCAGCAAGCGUCUGUGCGGAGCCCCUCUGGGCCUGCUGGGUGAUAGGAACUAGAGCAAGACACAGCCCCUGCCUUCCAGGAGUUCACAGCAAACACAUGGACACAUCUAAAGUCUAAAUGCUACAGGAGAGAUGACAUUUACCACCAUGGUGACAGAGUACAGACUGGCCGCAAGCCCUGAAAAGCAGCACAUCUGCAAAAGGAGAUUGUCGGGUAAAGCAUGGGAAGGAGGUGAUGCUUGAGAAAAGUUGUUUUUUGUUUUUGUUUUGAGACAGUCUAACUCUGUUGCACAGGCUGGAGUGCAGUGGUGUG